rnacentral:rRNA from 1 species
CAGUGGGGAAUAUUGGACAAUGGGCGCAAGCCUGAUCCAGCAAUGCCGCGUGUGUGAAGAAGGCCUUCGGGUUGUAAAGCACUUUUAUCGGGAGCGAAAAGCGGACGGUGAAUACCCGUCCGUGCUGACGGUACCCGAGGAAUAAGCACCGGCUAACUACGUGCCAGCAGCCGCGGUAAUACGUAGGGUGCGAGCGUUAAUCGGAAUUACUGGGCGUAAAGCGUGCGCAGGCGGUUUUGUAAGCCAGAUGUGAAAUCCCCGGGCUCAACCUGGGAAUGGCAUUUGGGACUGCAAGGCUGGAGUGUGGCAGAGGGGACUAGAAUUCCUGGUGUAGCAGUGAAAUGCGUAGAUAUCAGGAGGAAUACCGAUGGCGAAGGCAGGUCCCUGGGCUAACACUGACGCUCAUGCACGAAAGCGUGGGGAGCAAGCA